CCUACGGGAGGCUGCAGUGAGGAAUAUUGGUCAAUGGGCGGGAGCCUGAACCAGCCAAGCCGCGUGAGGGAAGAAGGUACAGCGUAUCGUAAACCUCUUUUGUCAGGGAACAAAGGCGGGGACUAGUCCCCGGAUGAGGGUACCUGAAGAAAAAGCAUCGGCUAACUCCGUGCCAGCAGCCGCGGUAAUACGGAGGAUGCGAGCGUUAGCCGGAUUUAUUGGGUUUAAAGGGUGCGCAGGCGGCCUGUUAAGUCAGCGGGAAAAGCCCGGGGCUCAACCCCGGCGAGCCGUUGAAACUGGCGGGCUGGAGUUGGAGAGAAGUACGCGGAAUGCGCGGUGUAGCGGUGAAAUGCUUAGAUAUCGCGCAGAACCCCGAUUGCGAAGGCAGCGUACCGGCUCCACACUGACGCUGAGGCACGAAAGCGUGGGUAUCGAACAGGAUUAGAUACCCUAGUAGUC
rnacentral:rRNA from 1 species